rnacentral:lncRNA from 1 species
AUCACAAAAAUAAAAACUCAUCCUCACCUCUUAUAUACAAGAUCAUUGUUACCUUGCUAAUGGCACAAAACAUUUAAACUACGGACCAAGUACAAAUUCUGUUUUUCCUACCUGGCUAAAUUAUCAAGUAAACAUCCUCGAUAACUGAUCCACAGUUUUCCUCCCGAGCAAACAAGAUGGCCUGCUCAGAGCAUAAGGCAAUGACACAACAUGGAAAGCUCCAAAUCACUUGAUGUUGCUGUCGGUAGAGACCCAGUUCGCUUCGUCCUGUAACUCACAGCAUGCAUCCAAAAAAAGAGACAAAAUCGAGGACAGAAAGAUGCAUUAGUGCUACGAGCUGAAACUGAAGCUUAGAUGCAAGAUGCCAAUAUAGCAUGAAUGGUGUCUGGGAUGAAAGGACUCGUUUUAAUUUCCUGUCUUCAACUAAGAGAUGUGCCUCUGCAAAUCAAGUCAAAUGGGUUUGAGAAUGCAGUAACUUCGAUUUACUAACAGUGUGUCUAUUUUGAGGAAAGGGAAUAGAAAUGAGAGUAAUUAAAAGAAAAUUAAGUUGGUUUUUUUUUCCUUGGAUGCUAGAGUCAAGAGAGAUUUUGUUUGGUGUAAAAUAUUUUAAAAAAAAAAUAAUCAACAUAAAAUAAUUUAUUGUUGAUAAAAAUAUAUAUUCUCAACUCAUAUAAUUCUAUAUUUCUAUAUAAUAUUUCAAAAACAAUAAUCAACUCACAAUAUUAUCUAACUAUCUUCUCACAUUAUCUACUUCUUUUUUUCACUUUUUAUUUUUAAAAAUCGAUUAACAAAAUAUCAACUAAACAAAGAGGAUUGAAUUAUAAAUGGGUUUAAAACACAAAAAUUAAACAUAAUUUUUAAAAUCAUGAGAACUGAUUAGCUCUAAUUUUACUAAAUCAAGUAGACUAAAUUGUAAUUAACACUCCCGGACACCAUGUUAAAGAGGUCGAGAGUUUGUGCCUUGAUUCAAUGGAUUCUUUCUUCUCGUCAAAGAACCAUCAAGUGAAGCUACGGAUCAUGGAUGAUAGGUCAAGCAUUUAAUCCCAAAAAACACGGUGCUAAAAUAAUUGUGGGAGUAGAAGGUGGUGCUCGCUACAGGGAAGAAAUAAUUGGGGUAAUAGAAGUUCAACUCACAACUCGAACUCUCAGCCGAGCCGUGCCCUUUCCAUAUCGUUGUCUGUCCAACUCUCUGUUGAUAUCUUCCUAGUGGGCCUACUAAAACAGAUGUUGUUUAUCUCAUCUGUGCCGAAAACGAAGGUGUUCCAUGUAUUUAAACACCGUAUUUAUUCGAUUAAAAAAAAGAAAAAGAAAAAAUAUCAUGUAUAUAUUAUCUUCUUUUUCUGUGCGGUGCAUGAAAGAUAAAACAUAAAGAAACUAGGGUCUCAGGGACAAAAUGCUAGCAGCAUCACCCGAAAGGAGUCUAAUCGAACUCGGAGGUGGAGAAUCCCAAACCAUACUAGGAGAAAUCUGGGAAGCACCAAGCUUAACUAAGAAACCUGCAACAUAAUUUUCCUUCUCAAAGGGUAUGCUGUAUACUAUCUUACCUCCCAUACCUGACAAGUUUUUUGGGUCCCGUAUGAGCUUAAAUUAGGCUAAUUAGCAAGAAUAAUAAUUAUAUCAAGGAAAAAGAAAAAUAAGAUUUGGUAAAACAAGGGUCAUGUUCUUGUUCUUAGGAAGCAAAUUGUCCUAAUUAAUACAUUUUCCGCCUUGUCUAAAAGAGGAGCUGAUGUCUCUCAUAGGAGCUGGAGGAAAGAUUAAGGGAGUUGUAAGGUAAGUUUCAUGUGUACAGGAUUGAGUAUAUAUCUACGAUGAACUCAAUCUUUUUAUUCUCCAUCUUGUGAUCUUCAAGGUGUUCAAAAAAUAAAGUGAAAAUUUUUGUAUAAACUAAAAAGAUGUUUGAGAUAGUGGUUGUAUCUUGAUUUUUAAAAAAAUGAAUUUUUUUAGUUUAAUUUUUGUUUUUAUUUUACGAUUUGAUGUUCUAAAUUUUAGAAAAUAUAAAAUAUUACAUUAAUAUAUUUUUAAAUAAAAACACUUUAAAAAAACAAUUACUAAAAUCAUAAAAUCAUCUGAAGUGAGAGUAUUUGCAUGUUCGUCCAUAAUAGAUAGAAGGUAUAUUUGAGCCUGCCAAUUUUUCCUCAAAGCCAGAGCUUCGUUAGGCCAGAAAAUUGAGGGCCUGAUUGCGAUGGCUUACAUGGAGUUUUUGUGGCCGGUGGGAUUUUUGUGGAUCAACGGUCAACGGUGAGUUAAUAAAAUGAACUUUUACAUUAAAAACCCUCAGCUAAUUUUUUUAUUGAUCUGCUGAAUUAUCUUAUCUAUUUUAUAAUUUUUUAUGAUAAUUAUCUUAUAUUCUUUUUUAUCGCAUUAAACAUAGUAAAUAUUUUUCAAAAUCGUUUUUCUCAUUUGUUUUGAAAAUGAAUGUGUUCCAUAUAUUCAAACACCAUGUGUUUAUUCUAUAAAAAAAAAACAUCAUGUUUUUUGUCUUACCUCUUAGGCCUGGCAAGUUUUGUCGGGGACAUGAGCUUAGAUUUAGCCUCGUUAGCAUAAGAAAGAAAAGAAAAUAAAGGCAGAGAUUAGAUAAAAUUAACAGUCAUGGGUAAUACCAUAAUAAAAGUGAUUUUUUCUUUUUCCUUUACAAUUUUAGCAAUUCAAUAUAUUCU